UACGGAGGGGGCUAGCGUUGUUCGGAAGUACUGGGCGUAAAGCGCACGUAGGCGGCUUUGCAAGUUAGAGGUGAAAGCCCGGGGCUCAACUCCGGAAUUGCCUUUAAAACUGCAUCGCUAGAAUUGUGGAGAGGUAAGUGGAAUUCCGAGUGUAGAGGUGAAAUGCGUAGAUAUCGUAAGGAAGACCGGUGGCGAAGGCGGGUCUCUGGACAGUUCCUGACGCUGAGGCACGAAGGUCAGGGGAGCAAACGGG
rnacentral:rRNA from 1 species